rnacentral:rRNA from 1 species
UAAGGGCGCACGGUGGAUGCCUUGGCACUAGAAGCCGAUGAAGGACGUUACUAACGACGAUAUGCUUUGGGGAGCUGUAAGUAAGCUUUGAUCCAGAGAUUUCCGAAUGGGGAAACCCAGCAUGAGUUAUGUCAUGUUAUCGAUAUGUGAAUACAUAGCAUAUCAGAAGGCACACCCGGAGAACUGAAACAUCUUAGUACCCGGAGGAAGAGAAAGAAAAUUCGAUUCCCUUAGUAGCGGCGAGCGAAACGGGAAGAGCCCAAACCAACAAGCUUGCUUGUUGGGGUUGUAGGACACUCUAUACGGAGUUACAAAGGACGACAUUAGACGAAUCAUCUGGAAAGAUGAAUCAAAGAAGGUAAUAAUCCUGUAGUCGAAAAUGUUGUCUCUCUUGAGUGGAUCCUGAGUACGACGGAGCACGUGAAAUUCCGUCGGAAUCUGGGAGGACCAUCUCCUAAGGCUAAAUACUCUCUAGUGACCGAUAGUGAACCAGUACCGUGAGGGAAAGGUGAAAAGCACCCCGGAAGGGGAGUGAAAUAGAACCUGAAACCGUGUGCUUACAAGUAGUCAGAGCCCGUUAAUGGGUGAUGGCGUGCCUUUUGUAGAAUGAACCGGCGAGUUACGAUUUGAUGCAAGGUUAAGCAGUAAAUGUGGAGCCGUAGCGAAAGCGAGUCUGAAUAGGGCGUUUAGUAUUUGGUCGUAGACCCGAAACCAGGUGAUCUACCCUUGGUCAGGUUGAAGUUCAGGUAACACUGAAUGGAGGACCGAACCGACUUACGUUGAAAAGUGAGCGGAUGAACUGAGGGUAGCGGAGAAAUUCCAAUCGAACCUGGAGAUAGCUGGUUCUCUCCGAAAUAGCUUUAGGGCUAGCCUCAAGUGAUGAUUAUUGGAGGUAGAGCACUGUUUGGACGAGGGGCCCCUCUCGGGUUACCGAAUUCAGACAAACUCCGAAUGCCAAUUAAUUUAACUUGGGAGUCAGAACAUGGGUGAUAAGGUCCGUGUUCGAAAGGGAAACAGCCCAGACCACCAGCUAAGGUCCCAAAAUAUAUGUUAAGUGGAAAAGGAUGUGGCGUUGCCCAGACAACUAGGAUGUUGGCUUAGAAGCAGCCAUCAUUUAAAGAGUGCGUAAUAGCUCACUAGUCGAGUGACACUGCGCCGAAAAUGUACCGGGGCUAAACAUAUUACCGAAGCUGUGGAUUGUCCUUUGGACAAUGGUAGGAGAGCGUUCUAAGGGCGUUGAAGCAUGAUCGUAAGGACAUGUGGAGCGCUUAGAAG